CCUACGGGGGGCAGCAGUGAGGAAUAUUGGUCAAUGGCCGCAAGGCUGAACCAGCCAAGUAGCGUGAGGGAAGACUGCCCUAUGGGUUGUAAACCUCUUUUAUGCGGGGAUAAAUGCCUCCACGUGUGGCUGUUUGCAGGUACCCCAUGAAUAAGGACCGGCUAAUUCCGUGCCAGCAGCCGCGGUAAUACGGAAGGUCCGGGCGUUAUCCGGAUUUAUUGGGUUUAAAGGGAGCGUAGGCCGGUCUUUAAGUGUGCCGUGAAAUUUUGGGGCUCAACCAUGAGACUGCGGCGCAAACUGGAGGCCUUGAGUAGGCGAGAGGCAGGCGGAAUGCGUGGUGUAGCGGUGAAAUGCUUAGAUAUCACGCAGAACCCCGAUUGCGAAGGCAGCAUGCCGCAGCGUUACUGACGCUGAAGCUCGAAAGCGCGGGUAUCGAACAGGAUUAGAUACCCGAGUAGUC
rnacentral:rRNA from 1 species